CCUACGGGCGGCUGCAGUGAGGAAUAUUGGUCAAUGGGCGAGAGCCUGAACCAGCCAAGUCGCGUGAAGGAUGACGGCCCUAUGGGUUGUAAACCUCUUUUAUAAGGGAAUAAAACGAGGGACGUGUCCCGUUUUGCAUGUACCUUAUGAAUAAGGAUCGGCUAACUCCGUGCCAGCAGCCGCGGUAAUACGGAGGAUCCGAGCGUUAUCCGGAUUUAUUGGGUUUAAAGGGUGCGUAGGUGGGUUGUUAAGUCAGCGGUGAAAGUUUGGGGCUCAACCAUAGAAUUGCAGUUGACACUGGCAGACUUGAGUACGGUUGAGGUAGGCGGAAUGCGGGGUGUAGCGGUGAAAUGCAUAGAUAUCACGAAGAACCCCGAUUGCGAAGGCAGCUUACCAAGCCGUGACUGACGUUGAUGCACGAAAGCGUGGGGAUCGAACAGGAUUAGAUACCCGAGUAGUC
rnacentral:rRNA from 1 species